GACGAACGCUGGCGGCGUGCUUAACACAUGCAAGUCGAACGGAAAGGCCUGCUUUCCCUUGUGGAUUGCGGGUACUCGAGUGGCGAACGGGUGAGUAACACGUGAGUGAUCUGCCCCCAACUUGGGUAUAAGCCUGGGAAACUGGGUCUAAUUCCCGAUAGGACUGCAGGGUGGUGCCUGUGGUGGAAAACGAUUUUCUAGUGGUUGGGGAUGAGCUCGCGGCCUAUCAGCUUGUUGGUGGGGUAAUGGCCUACCAAGGCGGCGACGGGUAGCCGGCCUGAGAGGGUGGACGGCCACAUUGGGACUGAGAUACGGCCCAGACUCCUACGGGAGGCAGCAGUGGGGAAUAUUGCACAAUGGGCGGAAGGCUGAUGCAGCGACGCCGCGUGGGGGAUGACGGCAUUCGGGUUGUAAACUCCUUUCGACCGCGAGGAAGCCACCUGGUUGGAAGGGUGGUGACGGUAGUGGUAGAAGAAGCACCGGCUAACUACGUG
rnacentral:rRNA from 1 species